rnacentral:rRNA from 1 species
UACGUAGGCAGCGAGCGUUGUUCGGAGUUACUGGGCGUAAAGGGUGCGUAGGCGGUUGUUUAAGUUUGGUGUGAAAUCUCCCGGCUCAACUGGGAGGGUGCGCCGAAUACUGAAUGACUAGAGUGCGGGAGAGGAUAGUGGAAUUCCUGGUGUAGCGGUGAAAUGCGUAGAUAUCAGGAGGAACACCGGUGGUGUAGACGGCUAUCUGGACCGUAACUGACGCUGAGAAGCGAAAGCAUGGGGAGCGAACAGG